CCUACGGGUGGCAGCAGUGAGGAAUAUUGGUCAAUGGACGAGAGUCUGAACCAGCCAAGUAGCGUGAAGGAUGACUGCCCUAUGGGUUGUAAACUUCUUUUAUAUGGGAAUAAAACGUUCCACGUGUGGGAUUUUGUAUGUACCAUAUGAAUAAGGAUCGGCUAACUCCGUGCCAGCAGCCGCGGUAAUACGGAGGAUCCGAGCGUUAUCCGGAUUUAUUGGGUUUAAAGGGAGCGUAGGUGGAUUGUUAAGUCAGUUGUGAAAGUUUGCGGCUAAACCGUAAAAUUGCAGUUGAAACUGGCAGUCUUGAGUACAGUAGAGGUGGGAGGAAUUCGUGGUGUAGCGGUGAAAUGCUUAGAUAUCACGAAGAACUCCGAUUGCGAAGGCAGUUCACUGGACUGCAACUGACACUGAGGCACGAAAGUGUGGGUAUCAAACAGGAUUAGAUACCCUUGUAGUC
rnacentral:rRNA from 1 species